AGCCUUCUGUAUCCGUGCUGAGAUUUCGUCAUACCAAACCACAAGGUCUGAUGAAACUUCCAAUAUAAGUGAAGCA
rnacentral:pre_miRNA from 1 species